CCCCCUUCUCUGUUCUCGUUGAAUUGAGCUGACUGAAGCUAUUGUACUUUAAGGGAGUCCGCGGAGAUGUUGGCAGGUGCAUUACUUCUGGGCACAGUCCUUUCAACUUUACCAGGGGGCCAAAGCAGAUGGAGUGUGUUCUUUUCUCGAAGAGAGAUCUGUGUGUGGGCAGGAACGACC